UACAGAGGUCUCAAGCGUUGUUCGGAUUCAUUGGGCGUAAAGGGUGCGUAGGCGGCAGCGCAAGUCAGGUGUGAAAUCCCGGGGCUCAACCCCGGAACUGCACUUGAUACUGCGUUGCUAGAGUACUGGAGAGGAGACCGGAAUUUACGGUGUAGCAGUGAAAUGCGUAGAUAUCGUAAGGAAGACCAGUGGCGAAGGCGAGUCUCUGGACAGUUACUGACGCUGAGGCACGAAGGCCAGGGGAGCAAACGGG
rnacentral:rRNA from 1 species